AAGGUAGUUCAGGAAAUUUAAACCGCUUCAGUUUGAACUUUUCUUUUUUUCACUCGUCUCCUUUAAAACUUUCCGUCCAGCCUCUCUCGCUCUCACUUCUGUGUUGACAGUCACUUGAAAGUUUGUCAAACUUCGCAGCGGGUGACCGCAGUGCAACAGGGUGCUGGAAGACAGAUAUCAGUACAGAAGAGGAAAAAGUGCACCGGGACACUGACCUCCCUCCCAAGCCAGACCGGCUCGUUGGUGUGGGGUCUCCGCCGCAGGACAGAAGGGGACAAACUGCCACCUGCCUCCCCUGCAGCUGUGUGUGAGUGAAUGUGGUUUGUCAUCUCCACUGGUUGUCUGGACAAGCAAUCAUCUCCUCUUUGUCAGGUAA
rnacentral:lncRNA from 1 species